rnacentral:rRNA from 1 species
AGACCCGAAACCCGGUGAUCUAGCCAUGGGCAGGUUGAAGGUUGGGUAACACUAACUGGAGGACCGAACCGACUAAUGUUGAAAAAUUAGCGGAUGACCUGUGGCUGGGGGUGAAAGGCCAAUCAAACCGGGAGAUAGCUGGUUCUCCCCGAAAGCUAUUUAGGUAGCGCCUCGUGAAUUCAUCUCCGGGGGUAGAGCACUGUUUCGGCUAGGGGGCCAUCCCGGCUUACCAACCCGAUGCAAACUGCGAAUACCGGAGAAUGUUAUCACGGGAGACACACGGCGGGUGCUAACGUCCGUCGUGAAGAGGGAAACAACCCAGACCGCCAGCUAAGGUCCCAAAGUCAUGGUUAAGUGGGAAACGAUGUGGGAAGGCCCAGACAGCCAGGAUGUUGGCUUAGAAGCAGCCAUCAUUUAAAGAAAGCGUAAUAGCUCACUGGUCGAGUCGGCCUGCGCGGAAGAUGUAACGGGGCUAAACCAUGCACCGAAGCUGCGGCAGCGAACGUAUCACCCAAGACAACUUUGCGGAGUUGACGAUUGACGGAGCGAAGCGACGUCAAAGCGUUCAUUAAAGUCGAGUUGGCUUAGGGAUACGUUCGUUGGGUAGGGGAGCGUUCUGUAAGCCAGUGAAGGUGUGUCGUGAGGC